rnacentral:misc_RNA from 1 species
AUUAAGCACCCAAGCAGUCCUGCUCACACGCUGUCCCCCUCUGCUCUCUUUGCCACGCAGCCGUUUUCAUUUCCCCGUUUCCCCACAAAGCAGAACUACACAGACCCCGUCAUCACCGCCAUCGAGAGACAUGGCCUCCAAGCUCCUCCUUGCUCUUACUCUUCUGCUGGCGAUCGCCAUGCUCGUGUCUGCUCAGACUUGCGCACCCGGCUACACUCCGGUGAAUGGCGCGUGCGUGCUGAACUGCCAGGCGGCGCACUGCGAUAUCUGCGACCCCCACGACACAACCCACACCUCUUGCGCCACAUGCUCCUUUGGAUACCUUCUCACCCCCUCCAAGACGUGCACGCCCGCGUGCUCCAUCGCCAACUGUGUGACGUGCUCUUCUUCUGGCAACAACGCGUGCCAGGAGUGCGCGCCGGGCUACCUCCGCACCGCCAAGGGCCUGUGCAAACGUUCAGGCAACUCGGCCAGCACGGUCGCCUCUGUCGCCGUGGCCAGCACCAUCUUGGCAGCCUCCUUGUUUGCUAUCGCGGAUUAAGGGUUUUCUGCUAACUCACUUUUUUUUUGUCGUUCCGCUUUCCUAAUUUCCUUCCUCCCAUUCGCUCAACUGUUUGAUUUUCGGAUUUCCGCACAAUGAAGACGGCGGCAUCCCGAUCGUCGGCAGGUGGCUCAGCGCCACAACUGACGACCGGUUCUUCCUUUGGUCUUGCAUUCUGUCACGCGUAUGCGCUUGUGCGUGUAUUCACGUGUGCGCAGCUCCUGCACUGCUCCACUUCUCGCAUGUUCUUUCUGCCGUCGUUGCUUUCCGUUUCUUCUACCCCUUCGAACUUUCACGAUGCACGCUGAGCCUACACCCUGGUGCCAUGCCACACCCACCGACACAGACUCGCCGCCACGCAUAUGUGAUGAGGGGAGGUGUGUCGUGAGGGGCUGCUGCCCUCGAGGUGCGCUCUGGCACGUGACUGCUUUCGUGUCCCGUCUACUUUGCGUACGAAUACCUCGUCGUGGUCGCGACUACAGCUUAGGAGUCGCAGAAGCUGUGAUGAAUGGGGGCUACACGGUAGCCGGCAUGCACAACCCUUUCAUUCUGCACGCACUGUCCGCCACCUGCAUACCGGCGCACACCAACGCGACAACGUCGGGGUGACGCAGCAGACUUGCUCGCUUUGAGUGCGUAAAAGGCCGUGGUCGCUCUUUUCUUCUUUCCUAUCCGUUUGCAGACGCAUUCAAAAAGCCACUCGUUGCGGCCAAGUGGACUUCAGACUGAGGGUUUGAUUAUUCCGCAUUUUUCUAGCUUUUUGUUGUCAUUGCUUCACGUCCCCGUGGCCGAAGAAACAGCGCGUCCUGUCGCGCAUGUGUGCGCAGCCCAACCCUGUCUUCAUCCCCUACUCCUUUCUCACCACAGCAGCGCAACCAUCAGCAUGGCAUCCAUGUGCACAUCGAAGAAGCCCCCAAGCCCGUUAUAGAAAAGAGCGAAGCUGAUUGCCCUAACAGAACAGAGGCUGGCCCCUUUUUCCACUCUCUCUUCCCCUCCAACAUAUGGCAUCACCUUCGACCUCUUUUACCCUUCCUCUUCUGGUCUUGACUCUCUCAG